GAUGAACGCUGGCGGCGUGCCUAAUACAUGCAAGUCGAGCGAACAGACGAGGAGCUUGCUCCUCUGACGUUAGCGGCGGACGGGAGUGUAACACGUGUAUAACCUACCUAUAAGACUGGUAUAAUUUCGGAAAACCGGAUCUUAUACCGGAGAAUAUCUUGAACCGCGGGGUUGAUUAGUGAAAUACGGUUUUUGUGGCACUUAUAGAUGGAUCCGGGCUGGAUUAGCUGGUUGUUAAGUUAACGGCUUACCAAGGCUACGAUGCGUAGCCGACCUGAGAGGGUGAUCGGCCACACUGGAAGUGAGACACGGUCCAGACUCCUAAGGGAGGGAGCAGUAGGGAAUCUGCCGCAAAGGGCGAAAGCCUGACGGAGCAACGCCGCGUGAGUGAUGAAGGUCUUCGGAGCGUAAAACUCUGUUAUGAGGGAAGAACAGAUGUGUAAGUAAAUAUGCACGUCUUGACGGUACCUAAUCAGAAAGCCACGGCUAACUACGUG
rnacentral:rRNA from 1 species